AACGUAGGUGGCAAGCGUUAUCCGGAUUUACUGGGCGUAAAGCGUGUGCAGGCGGGGGUACAAGUGGUGUAUGAAAUUUCCCAGCUUAACUGGGAAGGGUUAUGCCAGACUGUACUUCUGGAGUGCGAGAGAGGGGCGUGGAAUUCCGGGUGUAGUGGUGAAAUGCGUAGAGAUCCGGAGGAACCACGGUGGCGAAGGCGGGUCUCUGGGCCGAUACUGACGCUGAGGAGCGAAAGCGUGGGGAGCAAACAGG
rnacentral:rRNA from 1 species